UGAUGCCCAUGAAGCCAAGGGCCAGAAGCGCUUGGAGGAUUAGAAAAUGGACAUUUUCCUUCUGUUCUUAAACCAUUCCGUGAACAGCUGGGUACCGAGAAAAUGAGCAGGUGAUUUCAGAUUUACGAAGCUGCAUCCUGACCCCCUAGGCAGAGCCUUUGAGAAGAGAAGGUGGGAGGCUGACAGAGAUAGGUAGAUGUGGGCAUCUGAACCCAAAACAGUAGCUCUGAUUACAUAUGGACCCUUGAACCAGCUGCUAGAAAGGGCUGCCAUGGUGCCAGGAAACUGUCCCUCUCUCAGCGUGGAGAAGCCAGUCAACAGAUUCUAAAUGCUCAAGAAUUAUCAUGUGGGAGUUCAUGACAUCUUUUUAAGAGUAAAUGAAAUCUUCAAAGCCGAAAUAGAUCAAGUCCAAUCUCUUCAUUUUAUAGAUGAAGAUUGGGCAUAUACUCAUUUGGGUAGAGAUCACAUUUUCCAGCCUCCUUUGUGGUCAGGUGUAUCUAUGGAAUGAAAGUGACUAAGUACUGGUCAGAAGAAUGUGAAACAAAGGUUACAAGAGCCUGAAAGCAAUGCUAUUAAUGCCCCUGGCAGCCACCAACAGAGGUGACCUGGAGCACCAAAUCCCCCCAGCAGCGAGGAAAUGGAAUAUUAUCUCACAGAGUACAGAUUAGACUGUGGAAAUGUAUACACUGAAUUCAAAACAAAAGCUGUCUUGUUGAAUUAUCUCCAACUCUGAUAAUAAAGGACAUACAGACCAAAGAAGGACAUACAGACCAAUGUCCACUGCUGCCUCAACUUCCUCUUCUGUGAAAUGGGAAGAACAAUUAUAUGUAGCGCUAUCAAGAAGGUUAAAAGACGUACUUUGCAAACUCUGUGAAAACAAGGAUAAUGUCUUAUUUACAGUCCUUGCCCAGUGCCUACCAAAAUGCCUGACACAUAACACGCAAUCAGCAUAUUUCUGGGGAUUCGGACAAAGAUAUAAAUGUCCCAAGAAAUGUCAGAAGGAAUUCUCACAUGGGAAUACUAAGUUUGACAGAACAGGUUGGUAAAAUA